GCGAAGCAGAUCGAAGACACAAACCUUGCCUCUUUCGGUUGUGAUAGAGCUGGUUGAAGACAAAAGAUCUUGCCUUCCUGCAUUGACAGUGAAGCAGGUCGAAGACACAAACCUUGCCUCUCUCGGUUGUAGUGGAGCUGGUUAAAGAAGCAGAUCUUGCCUUCCUACAUUAACAGCGAAGCAGAUCGAAAACAAAGCCUUGCAUCCAUCGAUUGCAGUGGAGCUAGUUAAAGAAGCAGAUCUUGCCUUCCUGCAUUAACAGCAAAGCAGAUCAAAAACAAAGCCUUGCCUCCAUCGGUUGCAUUGGAGCUGGUUAAAGGUUACAGAUUUUGUCUCCCUAAGCCGUAGCGGAGC
rnacentral:lncRNA from 1 species